AGUGAGAGGAGUAAAAUAAAUUUUUCAUAUAAAAGUACUUUGUUGUGCACAUACAAUAAAUAGCAAACGAUUAUUCAUGCGUACAACCAAAUAAAACGAUGUAAAUGGACUCAUUUUGUAGAGGACAACCUACGCUAACAGACCAUGUAGUAUUUUGUGGCUAAUAUGCACUUUCUGAGACAGUUGACGCUCAAGUUUCACUGCAGAGGAGCGGUUUUUCAGACAAGGUGCUAUGACACAACAAGCUAGCCCAGGCUUCAGAUUACCACACUAUGACAUCACCAUAUAAGGAGUGGAAGUUAGGGAAGUUGACUGUGAGAAUGACACAUUAAG